GCCCCUAUAGCUCAAUGGAUAGAGCCGUGGCUUCCUAAGCUAUUGAUCUAGGUUCGACUCCUAGUAGGGGUA
rnacentral:tRNA from 1 species